UGUUUGCAGACAUUGGACAACUGGUC
rnacentral:piRNA from 1 species